GACGAACGCUGGCGGCGUGCUUAACACAUGCAAGUCGUACGGUAAGGCCCUUUCGGGGGUACACGAGUGGCGAACGGGUGAGUAACACGUGAGUAACCUGCCCACAACUUUGGGAUAACGCUAGGAAACUGGUGCUAAUACUGGAUAUGUGCUCCUGCUGCAUGGUGGGGGUUGGAAAGCUCCGGCGGUUGUGGAUGGACUCGCGGCCUAUCAGCUUGUUGGUGGGGUAGUGGCCUACCAAGGCGGCGACGGGUAGCCGGCCUGAGAGGGUGACCGGCCACAUUGGGACUGAGAUACGGCCCAGACUCCUACGGGAGGCAGCAGUGGGGAAUAUUGCACAAUGGGCGCAAGCCUGAUGCAGCAACGCCGCGUGCGGGAUGACGGCCUUCGGGUUGUAAACCGCUUUCAGCAGGGACGAAGCUUUUUGUGACGGUACCUGCAGAAGAAACACCGGCUAACUACGU
rnacentral:rRNA from 1 species